rnacentral:rRNA from 1 species
CGCGAAAGGGGCUUCGGCCCUGAGUAGAGUGGCGAACGGGUGAGUAACACGUGGGUGACCUACCUUCGAAUGGGGGAUAACGUCCCGAAAGGGACGCUAAUACCGCAUAACAUCCUGCCUUUGAGGAGGCGGAGAUCAAAGCUGGGGAUCGCAAGACCUGGCGUUUGAAGAGGGGCCCGCGUCCGAUUAGCUAGUUGGUGGGGUAAUGGCUCACCAAGGCAACGAUCGGUAGCCGGCCUGAGAGGGCGGACGGCCACACUGGGACUGAGACACGGCCCAGACUCCUACGGGAGGCAGCAGUGGGGAAUUGUUCGCAAUGGGCGCAAGCCUGACGACGCAACGCCGCGUGGAGGAUGAAGGUCUUCGGAUUGUAAACUCCUGUUGCCCGGGACGAACGGCUCUGACCUAACACGCCAGAGUUUGACGGUACCGGGUGAGGAAGCCCCGGCUAACUCUGUGCCAGCAGCCGCGGUAAUACAGAGGGGGCAAGCGUUGUUCGGAAUUACUGGGCGUAAAGGGCGCGUAGGCGGCCUGCUAAGUCGGACGUGAAAUCCCCGGGCUCAACCCGGGAACUGCGUCCGAUACUGGUUGGCUUGAAUCCGGGAGAGGGAUGCGGAAUUCCAGGUGUAGCGGUGAAAUGCGUAGAUAUCUGGAGGAACACCGGUGGCGAAGGCGGCAUCCUGGACCGGCAUUGACGCUGAGGCGCGAAAGCCAGGGGAGCAAACGGGAUUAGAUACCCCGGUAGUCCUGGCCCUAAACGAUGAAUGCUUGGUGUAGCGGGUAUCGAUCCCUGCUGUGCCG